UUUUUUUUUUUUUUUUUUUUAGUAGAGACGGGGUUUCACCACGUUGGCUAGACUGGUCUCCAACUCCUGACCUCAUGAUCCUCCCCACAAGGCCUCCGAAAGUGCUGGGAUUACAGGCGAGAGCCACUGCACCCGGCCUCUGAAGUUAUUUUCCUGGAUCAUUAUGUGAUGUCAUAGGAUCUAAGAAAAGUUUAUGGAAAGGCACAAUGACGCAUUCAGGGUGUGGUUUAGGGUGCGGCUGGCUUGGCACCCAAAUCCUACCAUUUAUUUUUCCUCUUCUCUGGAGUUCCCAGCCAAAAAGCAUAUUCACCAAAGAAUCAGCAGCCAUAUGGGAAAGAAGCAGAAGCAGAGGUAGAAAAGGGAAAUGGAAACCUUACCCAACAUCAAGAAGCUGUGAAAUGAUAGAGCUGUCCAUGGUCUUCACAUCAUUUAGAAAGUGUGAAUUUGGGAGAUGGCAGAAAAAACAAAAAACAAAAAAAAGCAGUCUUCUAGAGAAAAACAGUGGGCUGGUUAGAAGAUGACACCUUGGAAUGGUGCAGAAUUGACUUUGCCAAGGAGAAGGAGAGAAAUGACUGCAUUUCAUCAUAACUAUGCUUGAAAGAAUGGAGUAGAUGACCCCUUACGGCCACUUCCACUUGCCAGAUUUCAUAUGCAAACUUACUCCUUUUUUAUCCCUCAGAACACUGGAAAGGUUUCAAAAGACAAGUAAUCUUAGCACACUCUGUCCUUGGAGAAUUGUGGAUGAAAGGGGCACAUAAAUACCUGUUAUUAGUUUCAUGCAGCAAUUUUAGUUGGAUUUUCUUGACCCAUCUCCCCUUUUGUAAUAUUUCUCAGGGAGUAUGCAUAUAUGUGAGAGUGUGUGUGUGUGUGUCUGUGUGUGUCUGUGUGUGUGUGUGUGUUUAAGUGGUUUUGACCUUAGGGUUCUCUUUGAUUUAUAGGCAGCUCUGUAAGUUAUGCUGGGAUGGUUUCAGAGCCUGUUUGUUCUGGCAUCCCAGUAAAGCUUUGCUUCCCAUGGCAACUCCAGCCUACGAAGAAAGGCCUCAGGGAAAAUACAGCUUUCAUUGCCAGAAUGAGGCAAUAGCACUUUUGGGGUGCUAUUUUGUUGGGUGGUGUAUUAAUUCUUAAGCAACUCCACUCAUGGAAAACUAAAAAAGCGUUACAGUCUGAAUAUUACCACAGACAGCAGCAAUCUCAGUUUCUCUCAAAAAAGUUAAUUGAUUCCAUGAGACUUUAUUUAAUUUGGGGUUUUUCAGGCACUGUCUGCACAGUAGCAAGAUUGUGGGGCAUGACCUUAAUGAGUGGUUCUAACAUAUGCAUGUUCCCUUCUAAACAGCCUUCCCAUUUAUAGUCUCAACUUCACAGUUUAACCUUAAGGUCAAUUUUUGACUUUCACUGAUGCUCUUCCCUGCUUGUAUUCAAAAGGAACCUGUGCUUCUCAGUCUUGGCGUGUACAUCAGAAUUAACCAGGGAGCUUCCAAUAAAUGCCAAUGCCCAGACCCUACCAUUAGAGAUUCUAAUAGUGGUGGCAUGGGGCAGGGUUUGGGUAUCAAUAGUUUUCAAAGGUCCCCAAGAUAUUUUAAUGUGCAGCCAGUGUUAAGCACCGUUGAUCUGGUCCAUUUCCUUUGAGGUCCUGAGAAGGGAAAUAAUUUCCUUAAGGUCAUUAAGCAAAUAGGUUUAUUUUUGACCACACAUGUUGACUCGUGGUUGAUUAAAAUGCCUAUGCGUAGUUAAUUGUUCUCUGUUAUUAUCUACAUAACGGUCAUGCUAUUUACAUUGUAAAUCAGGUAGUCUGUGGUAGUUGAGUCCCAAAAUACAAGGUGUUGACUUCCAUUGCAUGUCAUACCCACCAGAAUCUGCCAGUUGCCAUUAGGAGUGUGACUAUGGCUAGGAGAGGAGAAAAAAUGGUGCCAAGGUAGCAGACCUACUGCAUUUCCUGACAAAAUGUUUUCUGUAUUGGAAAGGUGACUUAUUUCCGUGGUAAAGAGUGCUCCUGGGUAUUUAAUGAAAUUAUUCUCAGUAUGGCCUGGUGAUGAAGAUGCUCUAGUGGGCUCUGUAUACUCCUGACCUUACUUCUGUAUUGUUCAGCUAGGUCUAAGUGUGCCACAGAGUGUGAGACUUUGUCAGCUUUGGAAGCCAACUAGUUUAUGAUUAUGCCAAUCUUGUGCCAAGAGCUCUCAGCUUAUCGGUAUGUUUGUGGUUGAAGUCCCAACAUAAGUACACAUUUUAUUUUCUGUUGUGGCUUCUGUGUGAUAUUUCCUAAGAGAUAAAAUCAUUUUUGGUAAUAAUUUUUUCCUAACUUUUUAAUGUAUUUUUAACAAUUUUCUAUUAAAAGGCUUAUUUCAACACCAUAACACAAAGUCUAAA
rnacentral:lncRNA from 10 species